CCUACGGGUGGCAGCAGUGAGGAAUAUUGGUCAAUGGGCGGGAGCCUGAACCAGCCAAGUCGCGUGAAGGAAGAAGGUACUUAGUAUUGUAAACUUCUUUUGUCGGGGAACAAAGGCGGAGACGCGUCUCCGGAUGAGUGUACCCGUAGAAAAAGCAUCGGCAAACUCCGUGCCAGCAGCCGCCGUAAUACGGAGGAUUCGAGCGUUAUCCGGUUUUUUUGGGUUUAAAGGGUGCGCAGGGGGGAGCUGAAGGCAGAGGUAAAAUGUCGGGGCUCAACCCCGGCCCGCCGGUGAAACUGGUUGUCUAGAGUUGGAGAGAAGUAUGCGGAAUUCGUGGUGUAGCGGUGAAAUGCAUAGAUAUCACGAAGAACUCCGAUUGCGAAGGCAGCAUACCGGCUCCAUACUGACGCUGAGGCACGAAAGCGUGGGGAUCGAACAGGAGUAGAUACCCCUGUAGUC
rnacentral:rRNA from 1 species